rnacentral:tRNA from 1 species
AGUGUCAUGGGAUGGGACUCGAACCCACGACCUUCCGCUUACCGGGCAGAUGCCAUGACCACUAGGCCACAUGACC